rnacentral:rRNA from 1 species
CAGUAGCCGCGGUAAUACGUAGGUGGCAAGCGUUGUCCGGAAUUAUUGGGCGUAAAGGGCUCGCAGGCGGUUGUGUAAGACAGGUGUGAAAUCCCCGGGCUUAACCUGGGAACUACGCUUGUGACUGCACAGCUAGAGUAUGGCAGAGGGGGGUGGAAUUCCACGUGUAGCAGUGAAAUGCGUAGAGAUGUGGAGGAACACCGAUGGCGAAGGCAGCCCCCUGGGCCAAUACUGACGCUCAUGCACGAAAGCGUGGGGAGCAAACAGGAUUAGAUACCCCAGUAGUCCCUGUCUCUUAUAC